UACGUAGGGGGCAAGCGUUAUCCGGAAUUACUGGGUGUAAAGGGAGCGUAGACGGCAAUGCAAGUCAGAUGUGAAAGCCCGGGGCUCAACCGCGGGACUGCAUUUGAAACUGUAUUUCUUGAGUGCUGGAGAGGCAAUCGGAAUUCCGUGUGUAGCGGUGAAAUGCGUAGAUAUACGGAGGAACACCAGUGGCGAAGGCGGCCUGCUGGACGGUGACUGACGCUGAGGCUCGAAAGCGUGGGGAGCAA
rnacentral:rRNA from 1 species